rfam:Hordeum vulgare subsp. vulgare, WGS project CAJW01000000 data, contig: morex_contig_1561472
AUACUGCUCCCUCCAAUCCAUACUACUUGUCUUAGAUUUGUCUAGAUACGGAUGUAUCUAGACACAUUUUAGUGAUAGAUACAUCCGUAUCUAGACAAAUCUAAGACAAGUAAUAUGGAUCGGGGGUCUAGAUA